CGGCCCCGGGUAGCCCAGCGACGACAGCGUCCCACUACUCGGGCCCAGCACUGUGGGUCCGCAGCCAUCACCUGCACAAAAACAACAAUCAACAGGGGGAGCUGAAGUGUGUUUAUCUGUGUUAUGCAAGAGCUUCUCGGUGGACAUUAUCCAGCUGAAGAGGACAAAAACAAAAGCCUCUUUCCCAGCUCUGACUCACUGCAAUGUUCACCAGCAGCUCAUGUUACCUUCCUAAUAACUCACAAGACUACUUUUAAACCAACUGUCCCCCUUAUGGCCGUUAGGUAUCACAUUAGUUGCAAGACGUUUGAGCUGCAAUUAUAAAUUAUGACAAUUUUGUCCACGUGUUUACAGUAAUGCCCCCCCCCACACACACACACACACAGUUUAACCCACCCCCAAACUUCACUCACCUGAGUUUGCCUAUUAAAAUGUAACCCUCAUUUUGCUCAAACGUGCCCGAAGCAGAUCCAAACAUAUUAAAUGCAAAAUUUAUGUUUGCAAAGCACCGUAAACACGUGGAAACAUGAGCAACUAGUGUGAUUGGAGCUGGGGGGGAAAGGCCACAACAUGCCCGACAUGUGCUGCUGUCUCGUAUUGGCGAAAAAGCAGCGAUGCCCCUUUAACACUUGGAGCCUUUCGAAAGAUCCGUUCUCCAUUUGAUCAUUUCAUAGAAGUUGUGGGUGAUCAUCUGCA